rnacentral:rRNA from 1 species
UACGAAGGGGGCUAGCGUUGUUCGGAUUUACUGGGCGUAAAGGGCGCGUAGGCGGAUUUUUAAGUCAGGGGUGAAAUCCUAAGGCUCAACCUUGGAACUGCCUUUGAUACUGGGGAUCUUGAGUCCGGGAGAGGUGAGUGGAACUGCGAGUGUAGAGGUGAAAUUCGUAGAUAUUCGCAAGAACACCAGUGGCGAAGGCGGCUCACUGGCCCGGAACUGACGCUGAGGCGCGAAAGCGUGGGGAGCAAACAGG